rnacentral:lncRNA from 7 species
AAAACUGAUCAGUCACACUGAGAAAAGACUGAGUCUCACAAAAGAUCUGGGAAACAAAAGAGUUUUUGGGAUUAUGCUUAAGUUGAACUCAGUGUCUUAAAAGAGAAUGAAAGAAUUUGGCAAGUGAAGCUAGGAAUAAAUAAGAAUAGUCUGCUGAGUGUUGGAGAGUGCAUGGGAGAGAGAGAGAGCACAAAGUAAAUAUGUCUGAGGGAAAAAUUUAGUUCCAAAACACUGGAAAAUCAGAUGAUGAAAUUUAGUCUUGAAAAAUUAGUAAUGAGAAUUAACUAGGCUUCAAAAUGAAAGUGAGGAAGAAGAGUCCUGGAAAGUGUUAAUUUGAACAGAAAGUAUUACUGCUGUUAUGGAGUGAUGUGCAGAAGCUGGUGGAAGAGAAGAUUUGGUGAAGAACUUCAGCACCAGCAAGAAUGAAAGGAUCAAAUACUAGCUAAAGGUUGCCUGUUCCUGCCCCUACCACUCUGUUCCUCACCGAAGGUAUUGAGAUUAUGUUGCCAGCUAGCAGCACUGUCUCCCAACAGCAUCAUAUCUUUCACCAUUAUUUCCAUUUGCUGCCUCUGGCAAAUGCCCAUUCCUAAUAGUGGUCAGUGCUUGUGGGCCUGAAGACCUCCAUAAGUACCUUCAAGAAACAGUUUCCACCUGGCUUUGUAUCCCAGAAUACACAGCUGCUACUGUAACUUGUAUUUUUAUCUUUCCUUUUUACCAAGCUUAUUUCCCCUUCAUUUUUCUACAUGCGUCUUUGUAAUCACCGAACUAUGGCUACAAAAUUUUAUGCAGUUUCAUUUCCAGCAUUUCUUGUAGUGGCAGUAAGAGUAGGUUGAUGUUUCUAUACUAUUGUAUAUAUUAUAUGUACUACGUAAUUCAUAUACAGUUUUAUAUGCUGCUAGUCAAGGACUUGUAGACACUUUUCAGUCUGUUGACUUGUUGUUUAAAGUAGUGCUGAUUGCAUAUGUAGUAGUUUGCUUUACAUGCAGUUUCUUCAACUUUUAUUAUGGUAACUGUAGGAGAGGCAGCUUUUACUUCAUUCCCAGCAAAGCAAUGAAACAAAAAGUGAAGAAUUUGCAUGUAUGAUUCUGAUAAACCUGGAUUCUAAUGCGAAACUAUGGAAGAAAGUAACAUCUUGGGGGAGAGGGGAAGCAUCUCAUUAUUUAAAAAAAACAAAAACGAAAAAACACCAAAAACAUGGUUAUGGGACUAUACGUAGUAUGAAAGAUGUUAUCUGCUGUUGUCUAUUCUAAGCAUCUUCGGAAAAUCAGUUCUUUUCUUAAAGCUCCUAAUUACUGUGAGAAGUUCAGCUUGAUAUAAAGAAAAACAUCAGAUGAAAUUUGGAGAGCAUUAGGUUAUUUUUAAAUUUGUGGCAUUUGGAGAAAAAAACAAAAUCAAAAGUUAGCUCUUAGUGGCUAACAGGCUGUUUGGAAGGUUAUCAAGUUUGGUAAGCAUUGGUGAAUACAUUUUAACUGAGUCAUGCUAGAGUGCCUGGGGAUCUAUUCUUCUGAGAAGUGAUAGCUAAUGUGUAGCUUGCAUGCAUCUUAAUCACAACUUUUGCUUUGGAAUCACAUCAUGAUUGAUCAUGCUGACACAGAGACUGUUGGUUAAUGUAAAUCCUCAGCUGCUAGAGGAAGCUAACUAGCAGAGUGUUACAUUCAGUCUUGUUCUGAUGUCUUUCUCUCUUCAAGAUCUGUGAUGUGGUAAGUGGCUAUUGAUCAUGCUAAGAUCUUGGUAUGUGGCUAUGAUGUAGGCUAAGAAGAUGCCUUCUUUGCUUUAGUGGUAUUCUGCUGAUUUGCAGAAGUAUUUUACACAACUAUGGGCAUUCGGUUCAAUGUUUUAUUAUGAACAUAGUAAGUUUUAAGUUUUGUGAAGAAAGGCAUGUGCUUCUUUUUUUUUUUUUUUUUUUUUGUUAUCAAGUCCUACCUGACUUGUGCAGGCCAAAACUCAAUUAUUUUUGAACUCUAGUAGACUAGCUUAUUUUCAGUAAACGUCUUUGAUGCUUCAGUUUAAAUUGAAUGAGUGGCAGAGAAUCCAUUAGUCCAUUAAAUCAUCUGCUUCAAUAGCUUGUUCCUUUAGCGCUAGUUAUUUAUAGGUGUAGGUUUUCCUUUCCCUUUCUCAUAAGAUCAGUUUUGUCUAGAUUAAACUCCUAGGCCUUAGAUAAUGUUCCGUCUUUGUUUGCAAAUGUAAAAAACAAUUUGUCAUCAGAAAUCCCUUAUGUUUUUAAUAUGAAGUUAUUGUAUCUUGUUAACUUUUGUAGACAGGUCUUUUACAGUAUCACUUCCACAGAUUUACACUCACUUUUUGAAAUCAGGUUUUUGCAAGAGCUUCCAGUAGAUUAUUAACUUAUUACUUUGGAGAAAGAUUAUGCUUGAUGUUUGAAUUUUUUAAUAAUUUGUUCUUGGCUCUGGCUAUAUUAGAUUACACUUGUAUGGUGUUAAUACAGUAAGCAAACAAGAAUAAAUAAACCUUCCUUUUUAUGUAGUUGUCCUGUUCACUUAG